rnacentral:ncRNA from 1 species
CAAUAGAGGUGCGGGGAGCAGGGUAGCUGCCGUUUGUUUGCGGGCACAAGUUCGCGGCAGGGAAGGGGCUCUUCGCCGAAGGUCGGCCGCGUGCCCGUGCGGCCUUCUUGGGAGCGCCGUGUAAGCGUCGCUACUGUCAUGUAGUCAUACAUGGAGCGCUAUUGGU